AGUGAACGCUGGCGGUAGGCCUAACACACGCCAGUCGAACGGCAGCACAGUAAGAGCUUGCUCUUACGGGUGGCGAGUGGCGGACGGGUGAGGAAUACAUCGGAAUCUACUUUUUCGUGGGGGAUAACGUAGGGAAACUUACGCUAAUACCGCAUACGACCUACGGGUGAAAGCAGGGGAUCUUCGGACCUUGCGCGAUUGAAUGAGCCGAUGUCGGAUUAGCUAGUUGGCGGGGUAAAGGCCCACCAAGGCGACGAUCCGUAGCUGGUCUGAGAGGAUGGUCAGCCACACGGGAGCUGAGACACGGUCCAGACUCCUGCGGGAGGCAGCAGUGGGGAAUAUGGGGCAAUGGGCGCAAGCCUGAUCCAGCCAUACCGCGUGGGUGAAGAAGGCCUUCGGGUCGUAAAGCCCUUUUGUUGGGAAAGAAAAGCAGCAGGUUAAUACCCCGCUGUUCUGACGGUACCCAAAGAAUAAGCACCGGCUAACUUCGUG
rnacentral:rRNA from 1 species